rnacentral:rRNA from 1 species
AGUGAACGCUGGCGGUAGGCCUAACACAUGCAAGUCGAACGGCAGCACAGUAAGAGCUUGCUCUUACGGGUGGCGAGUGGCGGACGGGUGAUGAAUACAUCGGAAUCUACUUUUUCGUGGGGGAUAACGUAGGGAAACUUACGCUAAUACCGCAUACGACCUACGGGUGAAAGCAGGGGAUCUUCGGACCUUGCGCGAUUGAAUGAGCCGAUGUCGGAUUAGCUAGUUGGCGGGGUAAAGGCCCACCAAGGCGACGAUCCGUAGCUGGUCUGAGAGGAUGAUCAGCCACACUGGAACUGAGACACGGUCCAGACUCCUACGGGAGGCAGCAGUGGGGAAUAUUGGACAAUGGGCGCAAGCCUGAUCCAGCCAUACCGCGUGUGUGAAGAAGGCCUUCGGGUUGUAAAGCCCUUUUGUUGGGAAAGAAAAGCAGCAGGUUAAUACCCCGCUGUUCUGACGGUACCCAAAGAAUAAGCACCGGCUAACUUCGUG